rnacentral:misc_RNA from 1 species
GGCGGCGGCCCACGGCCGUCGGCUAGUGGCCGGCAGCCAGCGGGUGUGUGCGCGCGUACGCAGCGUCAUGGGCUUCACGGAGGUGCGGUCGGGCUACGUGCCCCUCCAGGACACGCCCAGUGGCAGCAACGAGUCGAUCGAUAUCAAGCCCGAGGCACCACUUUCUGCCAGAGAGAAUAUCUCCAAAGAAAAAACGCACUCUCACCAUUCUUUCUGCAACGAUAUGCAUCAUCAACUUGGAGGCGGGCAGUGGCAUGAUGGCGUGCCCUCGUGCCACCAUUAACGCCGGCUGGGUCGGUUUCCUUUUGUUUUUCGCCUGCGGCAGCAUGUCCGCCUUCAACGGCAUUCUGCUGACGUGGUCGCGCUCAAUCCUGGAGGAGCGCUACCCCGAAUAUAAUGGCCACGUACGCAGCCCAUUCGCCGAGAUCGCCACCAAAGCGUUCGGCCGACCGGGCAGGAUGCUGUUCAACUUCUGCAUUUUUAUGAGCCACUUCGGCGCUGCGGUUGUGAACAUGCUGCUGUGUGCCGAGCUGAUGGAGAGCUUCACCGGCUGGUCGCGCUGCUUCUGCAUACCGCUGAUCGCCAUGUUCUUCAUGCCCUCGUCGUGCCUGCCGUCUCCGGCCAAGUUCAGGAAGAUCACGUACAUGGGCCUGAUGGCGGCGAUGGUGGCCUGCCUCUGCUGUAUCAUCAAGCUGUCACUGGUGCUGACCUCGCUGUCGGAGCCGGUGACACGCACGCCGGCCACGCUGCAGUCCUUCUCGCUCGGCCUGGCCACCAUCAUGUUCAGCUUCGCCGGCGCCGGCGCGCUGCCCACCAUCCAGAACGACAUGGGCGACCGCAGCAAGUUCGCCCACAGCGUAUUCUUGGGAUACUCCGGACUGAUCGUGCUCUUCACGACUAUGUCGUCCCUUGGCUACACGGCGUUAGGUGACCAGCUGUCUGCCAACAUCAUCAACUCGCUACCCGACGGCGACUUCCGCAAGAUCAGCCAGGUGGCCUUCACCGUCAGCCUGACGACGGCCACCUACACGCUCAUUAACCCGGUCUUCCGCCAGGUGGAGGGGCCGCUCAAGAUCGAGGGUCCAGACAUGAGCUUGAAGCAGGUGAUCGUGCGGACGCUGAUGAUCGGCUGCAUGGUGAUAGUGGGUCUGACCGUGCCCAGCUUUGACAAGAUACUCAAUCUGCUGGGAUCGACCACCAUCGGCGUACUGGCCUUUGUCUUCCCGCCGCUCUUUUACUUCCGACUCAUGACUCAACACGAGGAGGGCUGGCCGGAGAGGCGGAUCCCGGCCUGGCAGAAGGUGGCCGUGCCGUGCGCCGUCCUGCUCAGCGUCGUCGGUACCGCCUGCGCCUUUCAAGCGGCCAUCCGCGACUUUGUCAGCGCCGAGUCUCUCUCCGGCUCCUGCCUGAUCCCGAUGUAGGGCCGGUGCGACCCUGCCGGCCGCCGCCACUGAUCUCAACAAGGAGCGGGGACGCGACGCGCGACACUCCACGUAAACACUGAGGCCGGUCGGCACGCGCCCAGACCCGGUGCAGCUUGGCGCCGACCUUCCGAGGCCGUGCCAUGCCGACGCGCUGGACGGCGUCCGGCCGGUGGCAGCGCGCCUCACUGGUGACGCGCCGGCCGUCGGGCCCGAGGAGCGGCGCCGGCCAGCUCUGGCGUCGACCGACACCCGAGCAGGAGGCCGUCUCCCGAGCCGCAAUGUGACGCUGCCAUCCUGGGCGUGACGGUAACAUGCCACAAUCUCCCUGCACGGACGACCAGCGACAGCGGAAGUGAAUGUGAACACACCCGAAGCAUAAAAAUGAGAAAUGCCUAAACACUAUCAGCGUUUGAAAUGGUGUUAUUUACGUUAACAGUUGUAGCGUUUACCGUGAUGCCUAUUUAAAUAUGGUUCCUGUUUCGUAAUGCGAUGAAUGGGGCUGCAUACCGCGCUCCAUUGCCCACCGAUGUGCUGUCUUCGAAAUGCCUUGGAAUGCUGCUUUUUUAGGUAAGGUGUAUUUGAAUAAGUGGUCGCCAGGGAUAUCACUACACUUAUCCUCCGCUUUUUGACGAUCGAGCAGGACUUAACGAAUGUCAUAUUUUGUCACAAGCCCUCUCUUGCCAGAUAUAGCAACUGCGGUUGCCCACUCACCAUGUACAUGUAAUCGCAUAAACCCUCGCCAUGAUGGGGACGUCGACCCGACACCCUAAUGUUUUCGGAGGAUAUCUCUCCGACACGUUGUGUAAUAGCUCUUAAAUUGCCGGUAGCCUAUGGGGCAUUCAUUGCGGAUGUUUGAACGCUAAAAAAGUGUGUCCAGAUUCUAACCUGUAAUCUAGAUAGAUUUCUGAUUUCUGAGCAACAGCGGUUUCGAGGAACACUACAUGACGAUCCAUGGCUGGCGCGGGCGGCGGGCUGCGACCGGCGCGGGCGGUGGGCUGCGACCGGCGGGUCCGCCGAUCGCGCGUGGCGGGGCGAUGCUGUCACGUAACAUGGUAUAGAUUCGCAACUGUGGAUAUGUGACGUUAUAAAGUGUGAUUUUCGGGGAAAUUUAGCAUUUUACCUGGCAUAAUGGGCCAAUCAGUCACGCAACAAUAUCAAAUUCAUUACCAAUCGCGAGAUCUCUUUGGGACCAGUUUACUGUUGAGACCAAUCCGCUGCCUUUUUCCGCGUGGAUCUAACGCUCUUGGUUUGGAAACAGCAGGGGAGGGGUCGAUCACCGCUCGUCACCCCGGGUUGUGAAAAAGAGAGAAUCGUGGCGAGGGUGAGACUAGAUUAUAUUCUGCUUUUAUCCGGCAGUUACCAAAGAAACGGUGAUGCCAUGACCAGACCCGUUACGCGGCGCAGGCAGGGCGCACAUUAAGAUUAACUGCUCUAGAAGUGAUGAAGACAUGACCGGCGUAUGAUAAUUCAGCUCGCCAAAAGCUAUGCAAGAAAUAGCUCCAUUGGAAUCCUGUGAAUCCGACUGCUGACAACGCUGCGUCUAGCAAUACCAUAAGAACGCGGAACCGACGCGGCGAAGAGCAGGCCUACGGUGGCAGCGGACGAGGCGGCCGGCACGGAGGACCACAGCGCUGCCACCGCCGGCACGGAGGACCACAGCGCUGCCACCGCCGGCGCGGAGGACCACAG